rnacentral:lncRNA from 1 species
AUGGAGAAAGCGGUGAUAACUGCCUUCGUGAACACUGUCAUGCCGCCGCUGUUUAAGGUGCUGUCAGGCAGUUGUAAGAUGGUCAUGAACGUGAUCGAUGAUAGCGACUCAAUGAGACGUAAACUAGUUCUGCUCGCAGCUUCCAUGGACGACGACCUCCGGCGGACGAAGAACCCCACGGCCGCCGCCAAGGUGUUCGGCGACCAGCUGCGCGAGCUGACGCACGACAUGGAGGACUGCAUUGAGCGCUUCCUCCACCGCGUGUCCUGCGCCGAGGGAGCGUCGCGGGCGCGCCGGCUGGGGCGCUUCCUGCUCACCAUCUGCACACGCUACCGGUUCGGGGACAAGAUCAAGGCGCUUAACAGGCGCCUCGAGGAGCUGACCAAUGAACGCCUGUGCCAGUUCGUCUACGACAAGCCCCCGCCGCCGCCGCCACUGGCGCCGGCGGCGGCACAACAACGCGAACAUGUUCAACUCAACCCCGUGGGCGUCGAGGGAGCCAAGGGGGACAUCCUCGCGAUGCUGGAGGAAAGUCCGGAGGAGCUGAGGGUUAUCGCCAUCGUGGGUUUUGGCGGCUCCGGCAAGACGACCCUCGCUAAGGCAGUGUUCCGCUCAACUGAUGAUGAUAGAAUCCGGGUGUUUCGUUCCUGCCGUGCAUGGGUUGAUCGAGCCAAGGAGAAAAAUGCGGGGGAGAUUUUCAGAUCAUUACUCCAGCAAUUUGGCUAUCGGGGUCAGGGAUUAUUGGUCGAUGACGAGCAAUAUCUCCAAGCCCAGCUCAUGGACUACCUCAGGGGUAGAAGGAUAAUAGUUACCACAACCAUUAAGUCGGAAGCGAAUACCUGCUGUGGCAAUGGCAAAGGUUUCAUAUACCAAAUGCAAAAUCUUGAAGAUCAAUACUGCAAGACAAUAGCUCUUGGGGAGGCACCUUCACCUGAGUUGCAGAUGGGCUCGGAAGAACUACUUAAGAAAUGUGAUGGCCAUCCACUUUCCCUUGUUUGUGUGGCCAAUUAUUUGGGAGGUUUAAAUGAGCCUACUGGGCAGCGCUGUCGCGAAUUGUGUCGCUACCUAGGUUCAAAAAUACAUGACAAUGGUAACUUUGAAAGACUCAAAGGCGUGAUCAUGGAUAAUUACACAAGUCUUUCAAACCACGUUGUCAGGGCCUGCUUGCUAUAUUUGAGCAUAUUUCCAAACGAUGUUCCGCUCGAGAAGAAAGUGAUAAUCAGGCGUUGGAUAGCUGAAGGAUUCGCAAGGAGCGAAGAUGUGGACAUUGAUGACCAGACUAUUGCACGUUGGAAUUUUGAGACGUUUGUAGACUGGGACAUCUUUCAUCCUAUCAUUGACACAAGCAAUAAUGGCGAUGUCAAGAUGUGCAAGACUCGCAGUAUCGUGCACGAGUAUAUGUUGUACAAGGCGUCGAGACUUGAGAGGUUCAUCAUGUCCUUUCCUGACUGGCGAAGGAAAGUUCGUCAUCUCUGUAUCGAUCAUAGGACACCUCACAAGCGCAGAACUACAACAGAUAUGGAUUUGUCAUGCGUCCGGUCUUUGACGAUCUUCGGGACGGCAGGUGACACCAUUUGCGAGUUUCACAGGUACAAGGUUUUGAGAGUCCUGGAUCUCGAAGAAUGCAAUGAUGUCAAGAACAAGCACCUGAAAAAUAUACACAAGUUAUGGAAUCUGUGUGAAACCAUGUGUGGUUAUAGUUCUUUUGUGAUGGGAAAUUGACAAGUACCGG